AUGGCACUUGACAACAUCUAUGGUAAGUGGACUGACUCAUUUCAACUGUUGUAUACUUUCAAGGCAGAAGUUGAGAAAGCGUCUCCUGGCAGUGUUGUAAACAUUGAGUACAAAAUAAAUGGAAAAAGUAGACAUAAAGAGUGCUUUAGGAGAGUGUUUGUUUCUUUCAAAGCAUGCUGGCAAGGAUUUUUGGAUGGAUGUAGGCCUUAUCUUGCAGUAGAUGGCACAACAUUAAAUGGCAGAUAUAGAGGGCAACUUGUCAGUGCAUGUGCAGUGGAUGCUUGCAACUGGAUCUUCCCAGUAGCAUUUGGAGUUUUUUAG
rnacentral:rRNA from 1 species